UUCCAGACUCCUACGGGAGGCAGCAGUGGGGAAUAUUGCACAAUGGGGGAAACCCUGAUGCAGCGACGCCGCGUGAGCGAAGAAGUAUUUCGGUAUGUAAAGCUCUAUCAGCAGGGAAGAAAAUGACGGUACCUGACUAAGAAGCUCCGGCUAAAUACGUGCCAGCAGCCGCGGUAAUACGUAUGGAGCAAGCGUUAUCCGGAUUUACUGGGUGUAAAGGGAGCGUAGGCGGUAAGGCAAGUCUGAUGUGAAAGGCCAGGGCUCAACCCUGGGACUGCAUUGGAAACUGUUUAACUGGAGUGUCGGAGAGGCAAGUGGAAUUCCUAGUGUAGCGGUGAAAUGCGUAGAUAUCAGGAGGAACACCGGCGGCGAAGGCGGCCUGCUGGACCGCGACUGACGUUGAGGCUCGAAAGCGUGGGGAGCGAACAGGAUUAGAUACCCCCGUAUC
rnacentral:rRNA from 1 species